GCAAAGGAAGAAACCAGGGCGUGAGUUUAUCACAUUUUUACUCAUCUCCAACUUUGCCAUGUGGGCAGUGAACACUUUCGAAACACAGACCCCACAACACAAUCCUAUACAGGUGGAGUUCUAUGGAAACGAUGCAUGGGCAAUCUUCACCCACGUCAGUGUCCCCUUGGGCAUCUACUACAGGUUCCACUCCACUGUCUGCUUCAGCAACAUUUGGAAGAACGCCUGGAAGAUUCGGAAACACGGGCAUGGUCACGGCUAACUUAUACAGAUCUCCAUUUCACACUAUAUCAGCCUUCAUUAUACAUGUAGUUCACUGGGAUCAAAAGUGCUGUUCAAUGCUAGGUUUUUCUCCCAAGAUCAAGUGAUAUCUGUAAAUCAUUGAAUUUUAAUUUUUAAGAUUUUUAACUAUGUAUAUUUCUUCAAAGAUUAUUUACACUUUUAUAUUUCCGGUAACACUAUCUUACCGGCUUUCUCCCUUUCCUUCCUUUCCCACAAUGCUAUCUGCUAACUUCAGGUCCAUCAACUUUUCUUUCUGUUGUUUCGUUCCUUGCCUGUUUUAACUUCAUGAAGGACAAUAGCUACGUAGAUAGACACGUUUAGUGUGAAUAGUAACUGAUAUGGCAUCUUUCAAGCACUAAAUAUAAACUUUAUCCCUGAUAUACUUUUUGAAAUUUGGUAUUUGAGUCAUUGAUGUGAUAAGAAUUGGUCCAGAGACUUGGCUGCCUCUACUGAUCUAGAUCUAGAUAUAAACCUAAAGUAUAUAGAUAUAGGGCAUAGAACAUAGAUAUUAUUAUAUUUCUAUAGCAUAGCAUUUGCUUAUUAAUUUAAAAAAAUGACAGUCUAACAACUUUAAUAAACUCUAUGAUCUGAUUUAUAAGUUUAACCAGGCUAGUUCAGUCCACUUUGAAAUAGACAAAGUAAAGAUUGUAACUGUGUUUUUUUUUCCUUUUUACAAAAAUUAUGUUUAAACGCACAAUUAAGAUGUCUGGACAUUAUUCAAUUUGUAGUGCCUUAAACCCUAAAAGAACAAUGUACAGCUCAAAUUUACCAUAAGCUUUCAUAUCUAUAGUGUGAGUGUGUGCGUGUUUCAUGUUGUAGAUCAUCCUAGUAAACAAAUGUCUUUUUUUAAUAUUUAAUCUUGUGUACAUUUUUGUUGGUUGAUGAAUCUAUGCCUAAAUAAUAAGGUUAAUUUUGUUUGUUUAUUUUUGCUUACAUUGUUAUAACUUAAAUGUAAAUGGUGGAAUGAUGCAGUUUUGUCUGUUUACAUGAUUUAGAGGGAUGACAGACAAAUGUGUAAAGUGUUGGAGUUGUGCCUCUUAAUGGAUCAAUAUUUAAUUCAUGACCAUGUCUGUUCGUAUGAGUGUGUUAUGAAUAUUCUCCUUUAUAGUCAAAUGGAACUCAUUUGUACUGAAGAUAGGAAUGAUCGAGGGAGGGAGGAUUUACUUGAAAAGUUAAAAAUGUGAAAUGUUUCCUUUUGAUACAAAUAAUUUAAUACUAUAAGUAUUUUAAUAUUUGUUUAACUAUAAUUAAAUAUUAUCUAUCAAAUCAGUUCUCAAUUUUCUUUUAUCCUUUAGUUUGCCCAGCUGUACUUCUUUCAGUCUUUGAAUCAACUCUUUGUUAAUAAUGUGUGAUCAUUUAAAAAAAAAAAUCUUUGUGGAAUAAAAAAAAUGAGAUUUAAA
rnacentral:sRNA from 1 species